AUCCGACAGUCACUAUUGGUGUAUGUGUGCCUGACAGUUGUUCUAAGAAGGACGUACAAAAUUUGCUUCGUAAAUUUUUAUAUGAGAAUGUAUCAACCGAAUUGACAGCCAGUAUACAGACCUGUGUAGAAACAGACAUACCAUACGAUUCUAGGGCUCAAAUAGUACUGGUUGUGAUAGGACUGUUUAUUUCCGCCAUGUUACUCGGAACCGGAUAUGACCUCAUUGUUAUACAAUGGCCGAAAUGGCGACGGAUAGAAGAAAUCACAUCAAGUGAGGAGAUCGCAAUCGAAGCAAGUGAAAAACAGCAAUUGAUUGAAGGAACUAAAUCACGCAUCAAAGAAUAUCAACCC